rnacentral:misc_RNA from 1 species
GUAGGUGAACCUGCGGAAGGAUCAUUAAAUAUUUGGUGCAAAAUAGGACGACGCUUCGGCGCGCGCGCCUACCAAAACAGUAGAAGGUGGGGGGACGUCUAGCCGCUUCUCGUCCCUCCACCGGGAAAUUAUCCCCCAACUGUGCACCUAUUGAAAGGAACUUGGUCUUGGCCACCUGUAAAUAACCUUUGUCUAAACGUUUGUC